rnacentral:rRNA from 1 species
GACGGUAACAGCCCGGUAGUUGAAAUGGCUUUCCCUCCAGAGUGGAUCCUGAGUACGGCGGAACACGUGAAAUUCCGUCGGAAUCCGGGAGGACCAUCUCCCAAGGCUAAAUACUCCCUAGUGACCGAUAGUGAACCAGUACCGUGAGGGAAAGGUGAAAAGCACCCCGGAAGGGGAGUGAAACAGUUCCUGAAACCGUGUGCCUACAAGUAGUUAGAGCCCGUUAAUGGGUGAUAGCGUGCCUUUUGUAGAAUGAACCGGCGAGUUACGAUUUGUUGCAAGGUUAAGCGGAAAAAGCGGAGCCGUAGCGAAAGCGAGUCUGAAUAGGGCGCAUAAGUAACAGGUCGUAGACCCGAAACCAGGUGAUCUACCCAUGUCCAGGAUGAAGGUAAGGUAAUACUUACUGGAGGUCCGAACCCACGCACGUUGAAAAGUGCGGGGAUGAGGUGUGGGUAGCGGAGAAAUUCCAAUCGAACUUGGAGAUAGCUGGUUCUCUCCGAAAUAGCUUUAGGGCUAGCCUCGAGGUAAAGAGUCAUGGAGGUAGAGCACUGUUUGGACUAGGGGCCCUUCUCGGGUUACCGAAUUCAGAUAAACUCCGAAUGCCAUGUACUUAUACUCGGGAGUCAGACUGCGAGUGAUAAGAUCCGUAGUCGAAAGGGAAACAGCCCAGACCACCAGUUAAGGUCCCCAAAUAUAUGUUAAGUGGAAAAGGAUGUGGGGUUGCUUAGACAACCAGGAUGUUGGCUUAGAAGCAGCCACCAUUGAAAGAGUGCGUAAUAGCUCACUGGUCGAGUGACCCCGCGCCGAAAAUGUACCGGGGCUAAACAUAUUACCGAAACUGUGGAUGAACCUCUUUAGAGGUUCGUGGUAGGAGAGCGUUCUAAGGGCGGUGAAGUCAGACCGGAAGGACUGGU